GUGGGGAAUAUUGCGCAAUGGGGGAAACCCUGACGCAGCGACGCCGCGUGGAGGAUGAAGGUUUUCGGAUCGUAAACUCCUGUUAAGUGGGAAGAAAGACUGAGACCUAAUACGUCUUGGGGAUGACGGUACCACUAGAGAAAGCACCGGCAAACUUCGUGCCAGCAGCCGCGGUAAUACGAGGGGUGCAAACGUUAUUCGGAGUUACUGGGCGUAAAGAGCGUGUAGGCGGCUUGUUAAGUCAGUAGUUAAAUCUCCCAGCUUACCUGGGAAUCAGCUAUUGAUACUGGCUAGCUAGAGGGCAAGAGAGAGAAGUGGAAUUCUCGGAGUAGCGGUAAAAUGCGUAGAUCUCGAGAGGAACACCAGUUGCGAAGGCGGCUUCUUGGCUUGUACCUGACGCUGAGGCGCGAAAGCGCGGGGAGCAAACAGG
rnacentral:rRNA from 1 species